AUGGAUUCGCCAGGCGGUUCUCCUCCUCGUCGGGGCUGGGAGACCUUGGACGACGAUCCUCUGGGAGAAAUCGCACGCCGCUCCGACGUCCUCACCGCCACAAGACUCGGUGCUUCCUGCACCAACUUUUUCAAGAUGCUGCUUAAACGGGCUUGGGAAAAGGCCAUGCUUGUUGGUCUUCCAUGCGUCCUCGAGGAGAAGGUUCUUCUAUGGGACAAUCCUUCGAACAGUCCACCGCUCCCUGGCCAUGGUUGCACGUUGACUCCGCUAGAGUUGCCGACGUUGAGAGGUAGUCGGAUUUUGUCCGAUGAGCAGGUCAGUAAUGGAGUUUGA
rnacentral:rRNA from 1 species